rnacentral:rRNA from 1 species
GACGAACGCUGGCGGCGUGCCUAAUACAUGCAAGUCGAACGCAGUGGGGACUGGUGAGUAACACGUGGGUAACCUCCCAUCAGAGGGGAUAACACUUGGCAACAGGUGCUAAACCGAUACUGCUGGAUGGACCCGCGGUGCAUUAGAUAGUUGUGUAGGUAACGGCUCACCAAGGCCACUAUGCAUACCCGACCUGAGAGGAUGAAAGACCAAACUGGAACGGAGACACGGCCCAGACUCCUACGGGAUGCAGCAGUAGGGAAUCUUCCGCAAUGGACGAAAGUCUGACCAAGCAAAGCAGCGUGAGUGAAGAAGGUUUUCGGAUCGUAAAACUCUGUUGUUAGAGAAGCGGUAUCUAACCAGAAAGCCACGGCUAACGACGUGCCAGCAGCCGCGGUAAUAC